rnacentral:SRP_RNA from 1 species
GCUGGGCGUGAUGGCUCAUGCCUGUAAUCCCAGCACUUUGGGAGGCUGAGGUGGGUGGAUCACCUGAGGUCAGGAGUUUGAGACCAGCCUGACCAACAUGGUGAAACCCCAUCUCUA